AGCUGUCAAAGUAUCUGCCCAAAUUACUCGUGAAUCAUUUAUAAAAAUUAAAAUUAAUUAACGAAAAACAUGAAAUUCCCCUUGAUUAUUUUAUUUAAAUUAAUUGCAUUUUUUACACUCGGACUUCACGCCGCCGAAUGGGUGGGCAUGUAUUAUAAUGCAAAAUAUCCGGGCAAGUGCGUAAUUGCAUCGGACCUGAUACUCAACGAGGGCGUGAGCAUUAAGGAUCCCACGCACGAAUGCCGUCAGAUUGUGUGCGGCUCCAAUGGCUCGACGAUAUUUCAAAGCUGUGGUAUUAUCAGCGGCCUCCCGGCCACUUGUCGCUUUGGCUCCUUUAUCAACAUGGAUCUGCCCUAUCCGCAUUGCUGUGAGCGUACAAUCAUCUGUUUGUGAGAGACUCAAUCCAGAAACUAAACCAAAGCAAUCUAUGACAUACACUUUGGAAAUUGAUAACUAUAUAUGCCAAUGUAUAUACAUAUAUAGGCAGAUAUAUAGAGCUUAUGUGUGAACACAUGAUGUUUGUUUUCAAAGCUGCCCUCAUUCUUUUCGUUUUCGAGUACCUAACUCAGACUCAAGCCCUGAACGCACUCAAUUACUAUGGAGACAGCGCAUACCCUGGACGUUGUGUUGUGGAUAU